rnacentral:rRNA from 1 species
AAUAGAUACCCCGGUAGUCCUGGCCAUAAACGAUGAUCACUAGGUGUAGGAGGCUUCGACCCCUUCUGCGCCGCCGCUAACGCAUUAAGUGAUCCGCCUGGGGAGUACGGCCGCAAGGUUAAAACUCAAAGGAAUUGACGGGGGCCCGCACAAGCAGUGGAGCAUGUGGUUUAAUUCGAUGCUACGCGAAAAACCUUACCAGGGUUUGACAUCCCGGUGUAACCCCAUAGAAAUAUGGGGCCCCUUCGGGCACCGGUGACAGGUGGUGCAUGGUUGUCGUCAGCUCGUGCCGUGAGGUGUUGGAUUAAGUUCCGCAACGAGCGCAACCCUCGUUGCUAGUUGCCAUCAUUAAGUUGGGCACUCUAGCGAGACUGCCAGCGUCAAGCUGGAGGAAGGUGGGGAUGACGUCAAAUCAUCAUGCCCCUUACAUUCUGGGCUACACACGUGCUACAAUGGCCGGUACAACAGGUUGCUACUUCGCGAGAAGAUGCGAAUCCCCAAAGCCGGUCUCAGUUCGGAUUGCAGGCUG